rnacentral:rRNA from 1 species
CCUACGGGGGGCAGCAGUGAGGAAUAUUGGUCAAUGGGCGCAAGCCUGAACCAGCCAAGUCGCGUGAGGGAUGAAGGUACAGAGUAUCGUAAACCUCUUUUGUCAGGGAACAAAGGCGGGGACGUGUCCCCGGAUGAGUGUACCUGAAGAAAAAGCAUCGGCUAACUCCGUGCCAGCAGCCGCGGUAAUACGGAGGAUGCGAGCGUUAUCCGGAUUUAUUGGGUUUAAAGGGUGCGCAGGCGGUCUGUUAAGUCAGCGGUCAAAGCCCGGGGCUCAACCCCGGCCCGCCGUUGAAACUGGCAGUCUCGAGUUGGAGAGAAGUAUGCGGAAUGCGCGGUGUAGCGGUGAAAUGCAUAGAUAUCGCGCAGAACUCCGAUUGCGAAGGCAGCAUGCCGGCUCCACACUGACGCUGAGGCACGAAAGCGUGGGUAUCGAACAGGAUUAGAUACCCUAGUAGUC